AGGGUAUUGGGCACCUGUGUGACAGGAUGAGGGAGAACAGACAGCCUCACCCCCUUCUCAACAUCAACAGUCCUGGUGCUGUACCUCUCCUCUGCGCUCUUGGUUUGAAACACUAUUGGGUUUAAAGAAGCAUCCCAAACAAUGAUGGAUGCUUCAAGCAAGCAAAAAAUUUGCCACCCUCUUAGAAUGAUAUUCUUCAAAUGUUUGUCCAACAUUUGCUUCAGCUGAAGGCAGAGCUGGCCACAGAAGUUUGAAGGCAUCUUUUACCAGUGUGGCAAGAAUUGGGCAUAGGGACCAAGGGCAGAUUUCCAGCACCUUUCGGGGAUGAAUGCCUUUAUGACUUGCUCCCCUGGCCACCUUUCCACCUCAUUCCUUUACAUGUCUAGGACCCCUCAAAGGGGGACUAGGUCAGCCUUGAUAACUGAUGGACAUCAUUUGAAUUCAGGAUCCCAUUGGUCAGUAGUCAUUUGAGUAUAUACACUCCCUGAUUUGCCUGCCUUACACAAUAAAGUGCCAGUACCUUUCUUAACACCUCCAUAGGUUCUUGUGUUUGACUACUUGUCACUGACUAAAAUAAACACACAUUGCUUUUUAACUGGUGAAAUGUAAUAUUGGAGAAGUGGAAGUUUUAAUUUUAUAGGCAUUAGUGACUUAAAAAUUUCCUUUUCUUUUUCUUUUUUUCUUUUUCUGCUCUUUUUAGGGCUGCUCUCACAGCAUGUGGAGGUUCCCAGGCUAGAAGUCGAAUCAGAGCUACAGCUUCUGGCCUACACCACAUCCACAGCCACGCAGGAUCCGAGCCACAUCUGCAACCUAUACCACAGCUCACAACAACACCGGAUCCUAACUCCACUGAGCGAAGCCAGGGGUAGAACCCUCAACCUCAUGGUUCCUAGUCGGAUUUGAUUCUGCUGAGCCACGAUGGGAACUCUGUUGUUCUUAAUUUCUUUUCUCAUUUGUGGUAAAAUGAAGUUACUUGAGGCUGAAAGAAGGUCUCAAAAGAGGCUCUCCUAAUCAGUGCAUAUUUUACACACGUUCCAACUCUGAGACACUCCUCAGAGCUUUUUGAAGACAGAGAACAUUCCUAAUCUAAUCGCUAGGUUACCUCUCUACCGUUGUAGUUCACCUGGUGACCUCUACAAACAUGUCAAAAAUUCUGGAGGAGUGGCACUCGUGAACGCUCUCUGCAGAUCUCCUCAGGCCUCCUGCUCCUGGCUCCCAUCCUAUAUCCACACACCCAGGUGGCCCCAAUUUCUCUCCAGUGGGCAGUGGGUAAGGGAGCAGGUAGUAAUUUAAAGACUUACACCCCCUGACCACAGUAUUAUUGGAGAAACUACUUCUACCUGUUCCUGUAAUACCUCUCGGGCCCUUAAGAGCUAAGCCUGGAGUUUUAUGACUGGAACUUCUUUCCCUUGGCUGAAUUUUGUUGUUCCACACUGGAGGACUGCUUUGGUAGCAGCCAUCAGGGCCUGUUCCAGGUGGCAACAUACAUUUAGACCUUAAAUUCCCCCUCUGUUGCUGGCAUAGCUGCUCCCUGCCUUUAACUUUUAGAUGAGAAAUGUUAAUUUAUGGUAGCUGUGGAAACUAGUGUAGGUUAGCGGAGUUGGGAGAAGUGGGAGAACCCCCCAAAAAUAAAAUAUUAGAAAAGUGUCACUCAGAACGCAAUAUUUUUAAAAAAAGUUAAGCAUAAAAAAACCCUCAGAGGAGUUCCUGUUGUGGCUCAGCAGUAACAAACCUGACAAGCAUCUAUGAGGAUACAGGUUCGAUCCCUGGCCUCACUCACUGGGUUAAGGAUCUGGCUUGCUUAAUGCAGGUUCAGAUCCUACAUUGCUGUGGCUAUGGCAUAGGCUGUCAGCUGCAGCUCCAAUUUGAUCCCUAGCCUGGGAACUUACAUAUUCCGCACGUGCAGCCCUGAAAAGCAACAAACAAACAGACAAAAAACACAAAAUCCCUCAGAGCCAGGAAAAAGUCUUCUCAAGGGAAGAAACAUACAUGAUGCUAUUUUCUGCCUUCUCUUUUGGUUUUUGCCCCAUGGUGUUAUCCCAUCUUUUGUAAAGAUAUGAGGUAAUAUGGUAAGUAAACAGCAGGCAGUUGCGGAAUCAAAGGAAGGGCUCACUCAGGAAUGAAACUAGCCCAGUACAGGAGCUCCUUUUAAUCAGACUCCUCACUCUGGGGCCCACCCUUUGGUCUGGACUUUACUAAGGCCUGAGGGUUGAGCCUCAUUUUCUUCCAUUUCUAAUCUUAGACAAUCCAUUUAUUCCUUUUGUCAACUGUCAGGACUAAACCCAGAAGAUGUUAAGGAUUGGAUGUGGAUAAUAACUGCUGAUAUUAUAUGGCUCCUUGUAGUUUGCAAAGCACAUCUACACACAUUAUUGCAUUUAGUCCUUUCAGUCACUGUGAAGUAGGUAUUACUUUUGUAUUACUAUGAUCACAAUUUUGCAACUGGGGAAACCGAAGCUUAACAAGGUGAUGUGACUUAUCUAAAAUCAUAGAGAAAGGGAAUGGGUCUACACUCAGGUUUUCUCACCCCAAGUCCUGUUGCUCCACAAUUCAAUUGAUUCUGGGGAAAUGCCACUUGUCUGCCAUGCACCCUUCAUUCCUAAUUAACGACAGUGGUAAUGGUGGCUGACAUUUGGGGUAGUCACAGCACGCCAGGUACAGCUCAUCUAAUCCUUGCACCAGUCCUAUGAUACAGACUUUAUAACUAGACUUACUUUACAGUUGAGUGAACCGAGGCUCAGAGAGGUUAGGUAUGUUAUCCCGGGGUGCACAGCUAGGAAGUGAUGGAGACAGGCUUCACCCCCAGGCCUGUUUGAUUCCCCAGCUCUUAAUCACUCCACUCUAUGGCCCUGCUGUGUCCUUUGCUUUCUCUUUCAAGGUUUCCAGCUCCUUCCAAAAGAUCCACUCAACAGAGCGAAAGCACACAGGGUGCCUUCAGGGGCAAAGAACUGAACUACAGGUGGCAGGAGGAGACAGAGUGAACAAUGGCUCCUCCAGGACUUGUUCUGGUGGGAAACAUAACUGCCUUAAGCACAGCUACAAUGUGGAUGUGUUAGUCAGGAGGGGCUUGGAGCCUGGUGCAGGGACAGGAAAAACGGGGUUGACCAAUGCACAUGGAGGCAGUCAGUCCCCCACUAAGGAGCUUCUACCCUGAAUCAGUACUGUUGGGAGAUGAGAUGCUUAGCGCCCAGGCAUCCCUUACUAAUGGCCUAUGGCACAGCAGUGGGUGUGGCGUCACCAGUCAUGUGUGCCUGUUCUGAACACAGCAUCACAGACUGUGGACUGUCAGAUCCUCUGAUUGGAUACAAAUGCUCCUGUGCUGAGUAAACCCUUAAUAAUAAACUUCUUGGAGGUAAAGGCCGUAAUACCUUGAAGCACUCCUUCGGGGUUUGCCUCAAUGAAAAACCACCAAGCACUCCUGGUUGCCUUUUCAAGAUACUUAGCUCAUUCCCUUGCUGGUCUAUGCUGGUAGAGGGGUGGGGCAAGUCGGUGUGAGAAGGUCUGGGAAAGAAACAAUCUGUCCAACCCUGUGAAAGGAAACCCUCUGCAGAUCUGGAGGAGGUGAGUGCCCCCACAUCCACGUGGGCUUAUUCCUGGGGACAGCAGGAGAGGCUCUGCCUCCUCUUCAUGGCUCCUGGGUCUCAGUCCCGGCUAUACGUUGGGAUCACCUGGAGGGCUUUUACCAUCCACCCGUGCCUGGGAUCCACCACCCAGGAAUCUCUGGUAUUGUAAUCCCAGGUACUUGUAAUUCUUAUAAACUCCCCAGCUGAUGGUGAAGCAGAGUAUUGCUGCUCUAGAAUUUCACACUCAGAAACAAAUGCCACAAGCAUCCAAUUUACCUCUCCACCAUUUUGGUGAGUUUGAAAGGAAAAGAGGCAUUACAGACUGAUUUUAACGAGGGGAAGAGAGGUGCAGAAAGGAGAAGCAAUUUGCUGAGGCCAGAGGGCUGCUCAGGGCAGGGUUGGGGUAGGAAGCAGCUUCCUUCUGAUUCUCCUGCAUCCUUUUUUCUGGCAGUAUAUACAGUAUCGACUGUUCUGAUGGCUUAGUUUGACAUGCACUCAGGCGAGAGAUUUCUACUCCUUUAUUGGGAUGGCCUUUCCAAUUAGACCUACACUACUGUUUCAGUGUGUUUCCUGGUGUGGAAGCCCAAAUCUUCCUUUUGUAAUUCUUAGCUCUUUACUGGCCUGAGCAGUGGGUCAUGAGAUCCCCGCCUCUAUUUAGAGGGAGCCAGGGACCGACCAUGUUUGGUGUGUUCUGUACAGAGCACAACACAUACGUGUACAGUGAAAACAUACUUUACUGUGGGUAGAACUGAGACCUAACUCAGUCUCAGCUUUCAAGCCUCUGGAUCAACAGCAGUUAAUUCUCUUAGAACAUAGAGCUAAAUCUCUGAGGAGGCCUGGCCUGGAGAGGCCACCCGAAUUGCUGCCUGCUUAAAGGUGCACUCAUGUUUCUUGAUUUAUCUGAGUCAGUACCUCUGUUUAUUUUUGCCAUUUGACUUCAGGGUAGGGCUGGUUUCCGUGUGCUGGCAAUUCCCAGUGAGUACAGGCUCUGAGUGACAGGGGCAGGUGUUCAGGAAUCCCCAGUGACUAUUAUUUCAUUUUGUUCCUCCCCCAGCCUCACGGUUUAUGUAUGAGCUGUUAGGUGACCGAGUUCUAUUUUUAACUGCAAAUAUGUUCUUUUCAACUGGAAUCAUAUUCUUUAGACACUGCAUUAUGCAAGCUGGCUCCAAAGUUUGCCAGCAGUGCUAAACUCAACUGUGACAAUUCCCAGCCACUGUCACUGAGCCCGCUACAGUGAAGCAAACAGCACGCUUACUUGCUGCAAGAUAGAGCUGCUGUUGUGUCUAAUAACUUUGCUACCUGAGGAGAAAGCUAUGUCUGGCCACUCCGAUCAGCUACCCUCCUCUUGUCUCCUGCCUAUCCCAGAAAAAAUCCUCUGGGCCUUGGGGGACGGCAUUAAAAAGGCUUCUGUUGAGGAAGGUUAAACUUGAAAUUAGUCAUAAUGAGGUACAAGCUAUGUAAUGCUCAUUGUGGUGUAUCUUCUCAGGCUAUGAGCAGGAGAGGACGGUUUCAAUGGAGGGCCUCAAGUCGAGAAGUCAUUCUGAUGAAGUGUUCCUGCUGAGCCAUUCACUAUUCUAAAGUGAGAAACUUAGACAAGCCCAGUGGUUGGGUCUCAUGUUUUUCUGUGGGAUAAUCACAGAGAAGUGUCUUUCCAGAAUGGCACAGAGCUGGGAUCUUUCCCCCUGCUUUCUCCUAGAGGACUGGCAUCUGGCUUAUCCAAAAUGAACCAGAGAAGAGACCGAGUUAGCAUUCUCUGAAGGGAAAAUGUUAGUAUCACAAGGUUCUUUGAUGGCAAGCAACAGAAACCAACUCUUUAAUAAGAAUUCACCUACUUAAGAACAAUUGUUAGAAGAUAAGUUCCAUGAAAGCAGGGGCUAGCUUUUCACUGCUGUUUCUCCAGUAGGACAAUACCUUGAAUAUACAAUAGGCAUUGACUACUGAGUAUAUUGAGUCAAGGUUUGCAGGUUAUACAUAGGGUGGAUUGAAGAAUUGUUAGGAAGACUGAGAACCAAUAUCAGAAAAGGAUAAGAAUGAGAGCACCUCUGGAGGGGAAAGGUAGCAGGAACUCGGUCCCUGACAGAUCCAUCAGGAAUGAAUGCUCUCUAACUAGUCAUAUUUUUGAGUGUCUGUCCUCAUGCAUCAAAAUCCAGAGGGAGGAGUUCCCGUCGUAGCUCAGUGGUUAACGAAUCUGAGUAGGAACCAUGAGGUUUCGGGUUCCAACCCUGGCCUUGCUCAGUGGGUUAAGGAUCCGGCGUUGCCGUGAGCUGUGGUGUAGGUCGCAGACGUGGCUCGGAUCCCGUGUUGCUGUGGCUCUGGCAUAGGCUGGUGGCUACAGCUCCGAUUCGACCCCUAGCCUGGGAACCUCCAUAUGCCGUGGGAGCGCCCCAAGAAAUGG
rnacentral:lncRNA from 1 species